rnacentral:rRNA from 1 species
AGGUCCUACGGGACGCAGCAGUGGGGGAUAUUGCACAAUGGGGGAAACCCUGAUGCAGCGACGCCGCGUGAGUGAAGAAGUAUUUCGGUACGUAAAGCUCUAUCAGCAGGGAAGAAAAAUGACGGUACCUGACUAAGAAGCCCCGGCUAACUACGUGCCAGCAGCCGCGGUAAUACGUAGGGGGCAAGCGUUAUCCGGAUUUACUGGGUGUAAAGGGAGCGUAGACGGCUGUGCAAGUCUGAAGUGAAAUGCCGGGGCCCAACCACGGAACUGCUUUGGAAACUGUACAGCUAG